UAAGUAGGGUGCGAGCGUUGUCCGGAAUUAUUGGGCGUAAAGAGCUCGUAGGUGGUUUGUCGCGUUGUCCGUGAAAACUCACAACUCAAUUGUGGGCGUGCGGGCGAUACGGGCAGACUGGAGUACUGCAGGGGAGACUGGAAUUCCUGGUGUAGCGGUGGAAUGCGCAGAUAUCAGGAGGAACACCGGUGGCGAAGGCGGGUCUCUGGGCAGUAACUGACGCUGAGGAGCGAAAGCGUGGGGAGCGAACAGG
rnacentral:rRNA from 1 species